AUGGCACGGCCGGGUAGCUACGUCAGGAAGGGAUAACCGCUGAAAGCAUCUAAGUGGGAAGCCUGCCUCAAGACGAGAUCACUGGCACCGUGAAGGUGGUAAGGGCGCUUGUAGACGACAAGCUUGAUAGGCCGCAGGUCGGAGCGUGGCAACACGUGCAGCCGAGCGGUACUAACGCCCGAGCGCUUCGUCUCA
rnacentral:rRNA from 1 species